UCGGGAAUUUUGGGCAAUGGGCGAAAGCCUGACCCAGCAACGCCGCGUGAGGGAUGAAGUAUUUCGGUAUGUAAACCUCGAAAGAAUGGGAAGAAUAAAUGACGGUACCAUUUAUAAGCUCCGGCUAACUACGUGCCAGCAGCCGCGGUAAUACGUAGGGAGCAAGCGUUGUUCGGAUUUACUCGGCGUAAAGGGCGCGUAGGCGGCGCGGUAAGUCACUUGUGAAAUCUCUGAGCUUAACUCAGAACGGCCAAGUGAUACUGCUGUGCUAGAGUGCGGAAGAGGCAACCGGAAUUCUUGGUGUAGCGGUGAAAUGCGUAGAUAUCAAGAGGAACACCUGAGGCGAAGGCGGGUUGCUGGGCCGACACUGACGCUGAUGCGCGAAAGCCAGGGGAGCAAACG
rnacentral:rRNA from 1 species